rnacentral:rRNA from 1 species
CCCGGCGACCGGCGCACGGGUGAGUAACACGUAUGAAACCUGCCCGUAGCAGGGGGAUAAGCGGAAGAAAUUCCGUCUAAUACCGCGUAACAACCCAUGGAGGCAUCUCUGUGGGUUUAAAGGAAGCGAUUCCGGCUACGGAUGGUCAUGCGUCGCAUUAGCUUGUUGGCGGGGUAACGGCCCACCAAGGCGACGAUGCGUAGGGGUUCUGAGAGGAAGGUCCCCCACACUGGAACUGAGACACGGUCCAGACUCCUACGGGAGGCAGCAG